rnacentral:rRNA from 1 species
UCCGGUUGAUCCUGCCGGACCUGACUGCUAUCGGAUUAAUACUAAGCCAUGCGAGUUUUUGUAGUAAUACAAGGCAUACGGCUCAGUAACACGUAGUCAACCUACCCUAUGGACGAGGAUAAUCUCGGGAAACUGAGCAUAAUACUCGAUAGAUCAUAAUGCCUGGAAUGGUUUAUGGUUGAAAUGAUUCGUUCGCCAUAGGAUGGGACUGCGGCCUAUCAGCUUGUUGGUGAGGUAAUGGCCCACCAAGGCGAUUACAGGUACGGGCUCUGAGAGGAGAAGCCCGGAGAUGGGUACUGAGACAAGGACCCAGGCCCUAUGGGGCGCAGCAGGCGAGAAAACUUUGCAAUGUGCGAAAGCACGACAAGGUUAGUCCGAGUGAUUUCUGCUAAAGAGAUCUUUUGCAAGUUCUAAAACCACUAGUGAAUAAGGGGUGGGCAAGUUCUGGUGUCAGCCGCCGCGGUAAAACCAGCACCUCAAGUGGUCAGGAGGAUUAUUGGGCCUAAAGCAUCCGUAGCCGGCUCUGUAAGUUUUCGGUUAAAUCCAUGCGCUCAACGCAUGGGCUGUCGGAAAUACUGCAUAGCUAGGGAGUGGGAGAGGUAGACGGUACUCGGUAGGAAGGGGUAAAAUCCUUUGAUCUAUCGAUGACCACCUGUGGCGAAGGCGGUCUACCAGAACACGUUCGACGGUGAGGGAUGAAAGCUGGGGGAGCAAACCGGAUUAGAUACCCGGGUAGUCCCAGCUGUAAACGAUGCAGACUCGAUGAUGCAUUGGCAUAUAGCCAGUGCAGUGUCGCAGGGAAGCCGUUAAGUCUGCCGCCUGGGAAGUACGUACGCAAGUAUGAAACUUAAAGGAAUUGGCGGGGGAGCACCACAAGGGGUGAAGCCUGCGGUUCAAUUGGAGUCAACGCCGG